AGCGCAGGCGGUGCGGCAAGUCUGACGUGAAAGCCCGGGGCUCAACCCCGGUACUGCAUUGGAAACUGUCGUACUAGAGUGUCGGAGGGGUAAGCGGAAUUCCUAGUGUAGCGGUGAAAUGCGUAGAUAUUAGGAGGAACACCAGUGGCGAAGGCGGCUUACUGGACGAUAACUGACGCUGAGGCUCGAAAGCGUGGGGAGCGAACA
rnacentral:rRNA from 1 species